rnacentral:rRNA from 1 species
GACGAACGCUGGCGGCGUGGAUUAGGCAUGCAAGUCGAACGGUAUCAUCCUUUCGGGGGUGAGAGAGUGGCGAACUGGUGAGUAACACGUAGGUUAUCUACCCUCAAGACGGGGACAACCCCAGGGAAACUUGGGCUAAUACCGGAUGUGAGCAACUUUUAGUUGUUUGAAAGGUGGCGUAAGCUGUCGCUUGGGGAUGAGCCUGCGUCCUAUUAGUUAGUUGGUGAGGUAACGGCUCACCUAGGCAAUGAUAGGUAGGCGGCCUUAACGGGUGGUCGCCCACACUGGGAUUGAGAUACGGCCCAGACUCCUACGGGAGGCAGCAGUCGAGAAUAGUCUACAAUGGUCGGAAGACUGAUAGUGCGACGCCGCGUGAACGAUGAAUCCCUUCGGGGUGUAAAGUUCUUUUAUAUGUGAGCAGUGCUUCUUAUAUUAACAGUAUGGGGAAGAGAUAUUAGCAUAUGAAUAAGCAACGGCUAACUCCGUGCCAGCAGCCGCGGU